ACCGUACAAACCGUACAAACCGUACAAGCCGUACAAGCCGUACAAACCGUACAAACCCUACAAACCGUACAAACCACGCAGACGCUAUCGACGCUAUCGACGCUAUCGUCGUAAAUCUCGCGAUUAACGAAGACCAAUUCAGUGAUGGAAUGAACAAACGCUUGGUGAAGGUCUUGAUCAAUACGCACCUUAAAAAUGCAUGGAUAACUUAGGACAACUCAGGACAAGACAGCUUGUGUUAUUUUUAAAAUAGAAUGGGAAGUAAUGCAGAAAUAUUGAAAUAAAAAGUUGUAAUUUGCUUAAA